rnacentral:rRNA from 1 species
UACGAAGGGUGCAAGCGUUACUCGGAAUUACUGGGCGUAAAGCGUGCGUAGGUGGUGAGUUAAGUCUGUCGUGAAAGCCCCGGGCUCAACCUGGGAAUGGCGAUGGAUACUGGCUCGCUAGAGUGCGGUAGAGGAGAGUGGAAUUCCCGGUGUAGCGGUGAAAUGCUUAGAUAUGACAUAGAACACCAAUUGCGAAGGCAGCUGGCUACACAGUUAUUGACGCUGAGGCACGAAAGCGUGGGGAUCAAACAGG